GUGGCGGACGGGUGAGUAACGCGUAAAGAACUUGCCUUACAGACUGGGACAACAUUUGGAAACGAAUGCUAAUACCGGAUAUUAUGACUGAGUCGCAUGAUUUGGUUAUGAAAGCUAUAUGCGCUGUGAGAGAGCUUUGCGUCCCAUUAGUUAGUUGGUGAGGUAACGGCUCACCAAGACGAUGAUGGGUAGCCGGCCUGAGAGGGUGAACGGCCACAAGGGGACUGAGACACGGCCCUUACUCCUACGGGAGGCAGCAGUGGGGAAUAUUGGACAAUGGACCAAAAGUCUGAUCCAGCAAUUCUGUGUGCACGAUGAAGUUUUUCGGAAUGUAAAGUGCUUUCAGUUGGGAAGAAGUCAGUGACGGUACCAACAGAAGAAGCGACGGCUAAAUACGUGCCAGCAGCCGCGGUAAUACGUAUGUCGCAAGCGUUAUCCGGAAUUUAUUGGGCGUAAAGCGCGUCUAGGCGGUUUAGUAAGUCUGAUGUGAAAAUGCGGGGCUCAACCCCGUAUUGCGUUGGAAAACUGUUAAACUAGAGUACUGGAGAGGUAGGCGGAACUACAAGUGUAGAGGUGAAAUUCGUAGAUAUUUGUAGGAAUGCCGAUGGGGAAGCCAGCCUACUGGACAGAUACUGACGCUAAAGCGCGAAAGCGUGGGUAGCAAACAGGAUUAGAUACCCUGGUAGUCCACGCCGUAAACGAUGAUUACUAGGUGUUGGGGGUCGAACCUCAGCGCCCAAGCUAACGCGAUAAGUAAUCCGCCUGGGGAGUACGUACGCAAGUAUGAAACUCAAAGGAAUUGACGGGGACCCGCACAAGCGGUGGAGCAUGUGGUUUAAUUCGACGCAACGCGAGGAACCUUACCAGCGUUUGACAUCCCAAGAAGUUAACAGAGAUGUUUUCGUGCCUCUUCGGAGGAACUUGGUGACAGGUGGUGCAUGGCUGUCGUCAGCUCGUGUCGUGAGAUGUUGGGUUAAGUCCCGCAACGAGCGCAACCCCUUUCGUAUGUUACCAUCAUUAAGUUGGGGACUCAUGCGAGACUGCCUGCGAUGAGCAGGAGGAAGGUGGGGAUGACGUCAAGUCAUCAUGCCCCUUAUACGCUGGGCUACACACGUGCUACAAUGGGUAGUACAGAGAGCUGCAAACCUGCGAGGGUAAGCUAAUCUCAUAAAACUAUUCUUAGUUCGGAUUGUACUCUGCAACUCGAGUACAUGAAGUUGGAAUCGCUAGUAAUCGCAAAUCAGCUAUGUUGCGGUGAAUACGUUCUCGGGUCUUGUACACACCGCCCGUCACACCACGAGAGUUGGUUGCACCUGAAGUAACAGGCCUAACCGUAAGGAGGGAUGUUCCGAGGG
rnacentral:rRNA from 1 species